CCACAUCAAACUAAAAAGCACAGGGAAGGAAAGGGAAGGAAACCAUCAACAAAAUGGAAAAGCAACCUACAGAAUCGGAGAAUACAUUUGCAGACCAUCUCCAAGAAAGAGUUAAUAUACAAAACAAAUAAGGAGUUCACAUGAAUAGUUAACCUUCAAAAUAAAACUACCAGUUAUGUUACCAGGAAAAGAAAAUGGCUUAUUUAGGAAUAGCAGAGAACUGCCCCUUGGGAGAAGGAAGCUAUAGCAAGUCUGGAGAACAAAGGAGAGGAACACUUUUGUAGAGGAAAGGAAGAAAUUGGGAGAGCUAUGAUCUAGUAAAAGUCCACUGGAGUAAACUGGGAGAUCCAAGUAUAGUGGCUUUUCAUUGCUUAAGUUGUGACCGUCAUCAGCUGGGCCAUCAUGAGGGAAGAAGAAAGACCUUUCUUCCUCUUGCUGAGGUAGUAUAGCAGUAGCUGAAGUAGUGUCAGCUUACAAGAUAUGUCUCCUUCCAGUGGGUCUGCACGAAAUGACACGUGGUAGAGCCUGUGAGCUUCCCCCUUCUGGCCCCCGACUCCAUUUUCUUUAAGGUUUUAUUUUCUUUCCAGUUCAUUAGCAUACAGUGUUGCAUUCGUUUCAGGUAUACAAUAGAGCAAUUCAACACUUCCAUUUUAAAUAAAGUUUCCUCUUACAAUUUUCCCAAAGUCAACAGCAAAGAAACCAUAUAACAGGGUGAAAAAGUGGGCAAGGACCCAAAUAGACUUUUUCCAAAGAAGACAUACAAAAGGCUAACCGGUAUAAGAAAAGAUGCUCAACAUCGCUAAUUGUCAGGGAAAUGCAAACCAAAACCACAAUGAGCUAUUACCUCACACCUGUUUGUUAGGAUGGCUAUUCUCCAAAAGUCAAAAGAUAACAACUGUGGGCAAGGAUGUGGAGGAAAAGUGAACCCUUAAGCACUAUUUCCAGGAGUGUAAAUUGGUACAGCCAUUGUGGAAAACAGUUUGGAGGUUCUCAAAAAGUUAAAAAUAGAGAUACCAUAUGAUCCAGCAAUCCCACUUCUGGGUGUAGAUCACUAUCUCAAUGAGACAUCUGUACUCCCAUGUUCAUUGCAAUAUUAUUCAGUAGCCAAGAUAUGGAAACAACUUUAAGUGCCCAUCAAAAUAAAGAAAAAUGGCCUGUGCAUUCAGUGGAAUAGUAUCUGGCCAGAAGAAAGAAGGAAGUUCUACCAUUUCUGACAACGUGGGUGAACCCAGACGACAUGAUUCUAAGUGAAAUUAGUCAGACGCAAACAGACAGACAUUGUAUAAUCUCAUGCACAUGUGAACUCUUCGUCUAAAGAAAAGUUGAACUUGUAGAGACAGAGAGUUGAAGGGUAGUUACCAGAGGCUGGAGGAUGGGCAAAAGGGGGACAUACUGAUCAAAACGUACAAACUUUCCAUUGUAAGAUGCACAAGUUCUAGCGACCUAACGUACAGUACGGUGACUACAGUUAACAAUACCGUAUCGUAUACUUGAAAUUGACGAAGAGAGCAGAUCUCAAGCAUUCUAACCACACCGCAAAAACAAAGUAGCUACGGGUGGUGAUGGAUAUGUUAACUAGUUUCAUUGUGGUUCUCACUUCACAGUGUAUGCAUAUAUCAACAUAUCACAUUGUAAGUCUCAAAUACAUAAAAUUUUUAUUCAUCAAAAAUAAUAAAUAAGUAAGUAAAUAAAGACCAAAAUAAAGAGAUAAAUGAACAAAAUUCCAAUGUGUGAAAAUGACUUUGGAUAAUGCCUGAAACAUAGUAACAGCCACCAGAGAUACAAGAGGACCUGGGAAACAGAUACAUACGUGGUCCUUCAGUAUACCUGGAGCAAAAAGGUGAGGAGAGAAUACAGGCUUCUUUUAAGAGACGAAGCUGGAGAAGUAACCAAAGCCUGUUUCUGCAGGACCUUGCAAACCAGUAAAGGACUUUGUGCUUUUUCCGGAAAGUACUGAGAAGCCAUUGAAGAAUUUCAAUCAUUCACUGACUGAUUGCUGAGCUUUCAUUGUUAAAAGAUCAUUCUGAUUGGAGAUGGAGAAUGGGUUGACGUGAAAUGGAAGUGGGUGGCAGGAAAAGUAAACAGGCCAAUUUUAAGGCUGCGCAUGAGAUGAUGGUGGCCUGGCCUAUGUUAGUUGCGCAAGACUGGAAGUCGUGGGAAGAUGAGGCAAUUGUUUCAAGACAUACAAGUGAGAGGUCUUGAUGAUUAGCUAUUGGGGCGGGGAGAGAGGGAGAGGUCUAAUGGGUCAGUUGCUACAGUGGGAUCGAGAAGGGCAAGAGACAACUUGCAUUGAGCUACGACAGGAUGACCUUGGUGGGAAUGAUACAACUGGGAGGUGAAGGCCAGAACCCAGAUGACCAUAUGUUGAGGAGAGGCUGGGAAGUGAAGAGUGCAGUCAAGAUUAUUGACUUGGCAACAGUACUGCUUGUUGCCACCUGACAUCCAUUCCCACCUUCUCUCCUAUUGAGAGAAUUCCUGAUAUUUAGUUGGGUACAUGGCUUUGUAGACUAAGCCUUUACAUUACCAGGAAGUGUUAAGUUAUGGUCAACAGAAUGCAAAUGGAAGUGAGGUGUGCUAGGGGCAAUGGCGUUGAAAGAAAGGAUACGCUCUCCCCUCCCCAUUUUCCUUGCCUGCUGGCUGCAAGCAGAUCUGCUGUGCUGAGUCAUCUUUGACCUUGUCAGUCAGGAACCACAGAGCAACCAUACAGAAUCCUGGGUAUCUGACACUAUAGGGUAACCAUUGUGGGUUUGAACAUAUACCUAGACUGUUACAUGAAAGAGAAAUACAUAUUUUGUUGAAGCCACGGUUAUUUAUAGCCCCUGUUAGAGCAACCCGCUCUAUAUCCAAACUAUUGCAGAAUUUGAUACAAGAAGGGAGUGGCUGCUAGUUUAGAACCCAACAUAAGUGGCAUAGGUUUGGUGGGCAGGCAGUAGGUGGGAAGGCACAGGUAUUACAGUCUGGUGGCAAGUCUGGUGACAGUUUUUAUGUUGUGACAAAACACUAAGCUGUUGUCUAUGAUCAUUCUCGUGGCGGAUCACAUGCCAUCAGAACCUGAAACUCAAGAAGAAAUUAAUCGUAACAUUUGGAAUGUGGUGUCUGUGGGAUGCAUUUUGCCACUUUCACCAGGAACCUGCCACAAACAGAUCUCAGGCUAGGGUCAGCCAGUCUGCCAGCACUGAUUCAGGGGUAUACAGCUCUUCUAAGGAAGCUCUUUCUGCCUGUAGGUGACAAUCCAAUUUGGCGGCAACGAGAGUGACUAGUGCCGCCAAAGCCUGAGAGACGCAAAAACUUCUGCACCCCAAACUGAAGGAAUUACAAGUAGCUUUCAAUAGGUAGCCUAAGCAGGACAGGACACCCAAGCCUUUCUCAGUCACCUCCCCAAUAUGGCUGACUCAAGGUAAAUUGGCUAAGUGCAAAAUAGCUGUCAUUGAUUUAGUAGGGAGACUUGGUAAAUCCCAGAACAAGCUACACAGAAGACCAGAGUUUUCAGGCCCCAAAACUAUGCCUGAACAAAAUAUUUCAGUAUGAUUAUUUACAUAUGGAACUUGACAGACAUAAAAGUAGACCAGAAGCCUAAAUGUUUGAGGGAAUUUUCUUGCAAAAGAAACCAUAGCCUAGGAAAAUGGGGAGGAGAGAGCAUAUCCUUUCUUGUAACGCCAUUGUCAAUAAGGCAUAGACUAGUUUGACCUCUAAUACAAUCCUUAUGAUCCCCUUUCUGCGCAGCAGGAAGUGGGCUGCAAAAGCCAUCCUGUCCUCAAGAAGGGUAUAUUCUUCCAAACAUCCACCUCAGAUUUGUCCACAGAGGAUGAUGAACAUGAAAGAAUGUUCCAGAGGGAAAGACAAAAGCUAAAGAUGACAGCAGAGGAAGGAAUGCUUCCCAGACAGCAGAAUCAGGACCUACUGAAUGAACUGAGGCCCCAAAGAGUGCCAGGACACGGUUCUGUCAUAAUUCAUGCCCAGGGGAGUUGGAUCAUUGCUAGGGACCUAUGUUACCUCAUUAUUCACUCUUCUCUUUCCAGUAUUGGAGUUUUUAUAGCAAUAUCCUACUCCAGGGAUAGAUAUUGGUUGGUUUGGAGACUAGACAUAACUCAUGCUUUAGUUUAUAGUUUGUCAGAGAGGAAUUCUAUCCCUACUGAAUGGAGAGAACCAAGGAGUAACAAGAGAUACUAAAUUUUGACCCAGAUGUAGUCAUUCUAUGAGACCUGGGGGUUAUAUUUCUUGACUAUGACAAUGUUCUAUGCGUGGGGAUGAUGCUCUGUGUGUAUUUGCGGACAGUUGUUUAAUCAAAGGGGUGGACCCUGACAGAAACUGUUAGUGGUCACUCAAUAGUCAUGCCCUCAGUUCUCUCAUAGAAAUGGAAUGCCCUAUUUCUGGCCGAACACAUAACCACUCAAAAGGAAAGACCACGUUUCCCAGCCUCUCACGAAGCUAUGUACAGUCAGGCGACUAAGUUCAGACCGAUUAAAUGUGAGCAGAAGUGAUAUGGAAAACUUUCUGGCUAUUCUCUGAAGCUAGAGGCAUGUCCUCCCCUUUCCCACGUUCACUUCCCACUUCCUGGAUGUGGACACGAUGCUGAGUCCUCUCAGUUCUACCCUAGAGGUGGUGGAGCACCUUCACAGAAGGAACCUGAGUCCCUGAGAGGGUGGAGCUGCUAAGCCAGCUAUGGACUGCAUAUGCCCAGACUAUUCAGGAAGGAAGGAAUAAGUUACUGGGUGUGUUUGUUGAAGCAACCGAACCUAUAUCUAACCAGACAUUACUCUAAAGAAUUUGUUCGUAUUGUAGACAGUAGGAAGCUAAUAACAGCAUUUGAACUCUCAUGAUUUGUUACAAGUAUUUUUGUUCUCAUGUUGAGUACAUGGAUGAUAUGCCAGUAUCAUCAAAUGAAAAUCACGAAUCCUGAGUUUCUAGAACUUGAAUAAAUCUAUCAAUAACCCAAAGCAGUCAUUGUUUACUCUUUUCUAUGUUUGCAAACGUGGAUGGGAAUUGGGAAGAAGAGCGCCAGCCACCUGAAACAGAUAAAUUUACACGUCACACAGUUAGAAAAAUGAAGUUAAAAUUCCAACAAAGGAUACAUGUUCGACAUUUUGUUAAAUACUGGGACUGCUUUGAAAUGUAUAUUAUCAAUACCUCCUUUUAAAUAACCUUCUUAGAGUUUGCUAACUCGAGACGCUAAGGUCUACCUUUCCCUCUUCUGCUGAGUAUCACAAGGUCUCCUCUCCAGAUCUAAAUGCUACAAACUUUGUUAUGAGACAGUCUUAUGGGACAAUAUCUAGAGGACUUUCAAUGUGACAGUUUUUAAAAGAAACCCUGACAUUUUUGGGGGUUCAGUGUUCAGGGCUCAGGGCUCUUGUGACUGAGGAGCAAUCGCUUUCAUCAGUGCAAGACUUUGUGAUAAAAUCUUACUCGACUUCUGUGUCUGUUAUCUUAAAGCCUACCACACCUGGCACUAUAGUCUGUGGCCUAUUUCUCUUGACAUACUAUUAAAAGUCAAGAUAUAUUCAUUGUUUCAUUUUGCCUCACGGCCCCCAAGCCCCACCUUCCACAGGCAAAGGAGAUUGUCUUUUAGGCCUAGGAGCCAAUGAAAGUGACCCAGUACUUGGUUUGUUCCAAGUCUGGGAAAGUUCCUCCUGCCCCAGAGCUGGCACUGAAAUUGCAAACGGUAAGCAGUUCUCAGAGGACACAGGGACAACAGCUCCCCCAUCCUCCCAAUAUCUCAAGUCCCUUAAUAGAGUCUGUUGUUGAAGUUGGUGGAUAUUUGUGUUCAAUUUCUUUCUCUCCAGCAGUCUGACUCUCGUUUGCAUUCAUAAAGAAAUCGUUGACCUUAUGGAUUCGUUCGCAGCACUAUGCCCUCAAAGAUGAUCUCUCUGAGUGACGUACCGACACACUGCCUUUUCUCCAACUUGCCUAGGUGGUUCCCCGAGACAAGUGUGGAGCCGGUUUCCAAUCUUCUCUGUGACCUGGGGUGCCUGAUGAGGACCAAGGAGAAAAACUGCUACUCGGACCUUCAAAUUUUCUGACUCCAAGACCCAAGGCAAAACAAUUCUCCACGCUUUAAUUUGAUAAAGGAUGUGCUAAACCAAAGGUCCCAGCUUGAAAAGGGAAAACCAAAAAAGUUUUUCAACUGUGAAAUGUUGGCAAAGACCCCCUGGUAAGGUGUCUGUUUCAUAACCAAAGAUCAUGAGAUUCAAACCCCAUCCAUGCCUGGCCCUAGAAAGUACAAAUUCACAGGAGAGGUGUUCUGGCAAGUGACUAAAAACACAGGCUUGGCAGCCAAACAGGUUUGUGUUUAAAUCCUGGCCUUGUCACUAAAACCAAAUGUCCUCGAGGAAACUGCUUAGCUAAAACCUUAGUUUUGUUAUCAGUCAAAUGGAGAUGUUAAUGGUACCUGUUGCUUAGUGUUGUUGCAGAGAUUAGAUGAGAUAAUCAAUGACCCCAAAGGAGAAGAAGACAAAUGGAGCUCUGGAAGAAUGAUUAAUCUCUCCCAGAAAGUGGCUAGCAUCCUCUCUGAUACAUGGGCCCUCAGCCAUGGGGACCAACUGAAGAUAUUCCUGCGCCCAGCACCAGAAACCUACUGGAGCUGCCUGGCCUGGGUGCGAUUGGGUAAGACAUGGGAGAGGGGCCCCUGGGACAGAGGCUCCUAUGGGAUUCCAGUCUCAGUCAUUCACAGAAUGGAGAGAUGGUAAAAGGAUGUCCAUCUGAUGCCUGAAUUCUUCCCAUUGUGUGGGCGUCUAUAAACAGGCCUAAGGUUUCAUCUCAGUUCCACGAACUGCCACUUUUGUAAUAUCAUCCCUCUCUGAGCCUCAGUUUCCUUAUUUGUGAAAUGGGCACAGUAAUAGAGUCAGACUUAUGUGUUAUUGUGAAAAUGAAACACAAAUUAUCCAUAGAGAGUGCUUAACUACCUUGUAGGCCAUUUAUCACCUCAAGGAAAUCUUAGCCUCUGAGAGGCUCCAAAAUAUAAAUAUGUUUUGGAAUUCGGAGGUUCCUAGGAAACUCAAAGCACACGUUCCCUGGAGAUUUCCCAUGAAGUGUUUGCCAUUAUACGUUCCCACAAAUGGCUCAGCCUAUUGCUUUUGCCUAAUAGUAGGCUUGUAGUAAAAAAACAAAAAAUCCUGAAGAGCAUUCAAAGAGCAGGUAUCCUUGAGAAUGCCAGGUGUGGGAGGCACAAAGAAGACAAGACAGGAGUGAGCCACACCACGGCUCAACAGAAGCCCUUGAGUACUUCAGGAAGUAAGUCCUAUUUUUUGAAGGCCCUAUGCUUGGAGGCUCAUCUUUGCCAUGUAGUUCCCAAGAGUUGGGGUGCCUGAGGUAGCUCACAAACCCCUCAGUCCUCUGGGGCAACUUCUGUAUUAUGAGAUCCUCCUGACUGUGGGUCACCACACCUGGAGUGGGGUUUCUUGUGAGACUGUGUCUCUGCCUCUCCUGUUUCCAUAUAUUUUAUCCUUUUAUCCGUUAUUUUACAGACACUGUUAAGCUAUCCUUCAGAUCCUUUUCAGAGGGAAUUGUUCCAUAAGCAGCUGUUGACUUCUUGUGUUCAUGGGAGGAGACAGAAGGGAGAAGACUUUCAUUUAAGCCCAAGUUAAGAUAGCCACCCAGGAUACAAAAUCUUCACAAAGAAGAGACUUCUCUGAGGAAGGAACAGUCAGUGCAGGAUUACAUAUGUGUUUUCCACACGAUGCAUCAUAAAUCAUCAUAGCCAAUGACAUUCCAGAAAGUUACAGACUUUAUCUCAUGUUUUAGUAUCUGCAAGGCUGUAUGACUUUAAUCUUAUGGAAACCAGGGACAUGUUUUUCUUGUUCUUUAUGUUUGAAAUGCUCCUUUUUGGUUAUUUUUAUUUUUAUUUUUUGAAGCUUUCAAUUUUUUUAUUUUU